UGCAGAAUCCCGUGAACCAUCGAGUCUUUGAACGCAAGUUGCGCCCGAUGCCAUUAGGUUGAGGGCACGUCUGCCUGGGUGUCACAUAUCGAAGCCUCCUGCCAAUUUCCUUUUGACAGGUAUUGUGCAGGGUGAAUGUUGGCCUCCCGUGAGCUCUUUCGUCUCAUGGUUGGUUGAAAAUUGAGACCUUGGUAGGGUGUGCCAUGAUAAAUGGUGGUUGUGUGACCCACGAGACCAAUCAUGCGCUGCUCUAUUGAAUUUGGCCUCUUUUACCCAUAUGCGUUUCUAAACGCUCGUGAUGAGACCUCAGGUCAGGCGGGGCUACCCGCUGAAUUUAAGCAUAUCAAUAAGCGGAGGAAAAGAAACUAACAAGGAUUCCCUUAGUAACGGCGAGCGAACCGGGAUAAGCCCACCAUGAGAAUCGGUCGCCCUCGGCGUUCGA
rnacentral:rRNA from 1 species